UCUACUUAUUCUUUUUAUUCUUCUUCUUCUCUGGUUUUCUUUUUCUCCUCUCUGUUGAUUUCAAUCUCAGAUAUUUGAGAUUCUUCUGUUAGAUAAUUUAUCAUAGACCUAGUUAGCUUGAUAAUAUGAAGAAGGAGGUGAUGUUACUGAAGCCGAGUGAGUUCUGGAAACAACAGAGCUUUAGGGUGUUUGAAUCGGAAUCGGCAGAUGGAGAAGAAUUACGAUGGCAGAAAUAAUAGAAGCUAAGUUAGUUGAAUUGAUUAUGAAGUGGAGAUGCAGGUUGGGUGUUGUUGCUGUAGACUAGGUAGUGUUGUAGAUGGUCUGAGAUGUAGCUGAGGUUGAUUAUGAAACCGGAAUCAAGAAUGUGGUUUGAUUUGAGUGGUUGCAGUUCUUACAAGUUGGAUGUACAACUGAAAAUAAUGUGUUUGCAAUGUAGAAGCUGAUGACAUUGAGGCUGUUGGACAGCUCAGUUGAGGGGGUGAACUGGACUUAGCAGAAGUAAGAUAUUGGUGGUGCUGUGAACUACAAGGAGAGGCCUGAGAUGUUUAUAGAUUGAACUGGUGUGCGAGAAAAUGAAGUGGAGAGUUAUAACAGAAAUGCUGGAGUUGUAUCUUAUGGGUGUUAUGACAAAGAAGAGACAGUGCUUGGUUUUGUAUGUUACAGAGAUAAUGGAAGUGGUAUUACAUAUGGUGAUGAUGAUGAUUGUAAUUAGUGGUGCUUGUGGUAUAUUAGAUUGUUUUAAGUGUGAUGUUGAGAUUCAAUUGAUGGUACUAAAGUGAAUUGAGUUGAAGUAGAAAACAUUUCAUGGUUUGGUAGCGGAUGUUGAAGUCAUGGGGUACAGUUUGUGAUUGUGAAUGGGUUCGCUGUGGAAGUUGUGUUAUUGAUAUUUAAGGUGAAGGCAAAUCUGAAAUGGAUUUGGUUGAGGUGAUAUUGUUAUGGUUAGUUAUAUUGAGAUGAGUUGCGGAUGUUGUUGUUGGUGCUGAUGAAGAAGAUUGAAGCUGUAAUGAGUUGAAACUGCAGGUGGUAGUGGUUUAAGGGUUACUAGGCUCUGUAUUGGAGUUGAAAAUAUGUGUGUAUAGAUGAGAAGUGUAUGAAAGAAGUUUAGAGUUGUUGGUGUUGAGACUGAAGCUAAUGAUGUUGUUGUGGUUAUUUAUAGCUUGAAUGUGGUUAUUAAUGUGGUACUUGUGUUUUUAAUGCAUUAGUUUGUGGCAUGAGCUUAUGGCUCAGGUCUUGUGUUUUA